CAAAGAAAGACUGUACCCGGCGUCCCUUCCUCUCAUCAGGCAGCUAUCUCGAGCUCAUUGAACACUAACUUUCUUCUUUUUCUUUUCUAAUCGUCGAAAUUCUCUCAAUUGUGCCCCCGCUGCCAUUGGAGCACUCUCUGAUACGUGUUCUGGAAUUCUCCAAUUCAGUGGAGUGGGGCUUACCUUGAAGCGGAUUCCAAUGUCAUAGCCUUU
rnacentral:lncRNA from 1 species